CGCACACACAGCGCGCGCGGGGCCACCAAGCACCAACCAGGCGCCUGGGCAACGCCAGGCAAAAGCCUAUCGCGCGGCCGCCUCCCCUCCCCUCCUUCCCUAAGCCUCGCCGAUUGUCCCGGAGGGAGCGCACGCGGCAGCCCACCCCUCGCGCGCGCGCUCGCUGGCUCCUCGGCGGGCUUUGCCCUCAGCCGGGGGAAAGCGGGCAGGCGGCGCAAGCGGCGGAGGGGAUUCGUGAUUCCUUCUCGUCUGCUGCCUGGGCUUAAACUCUCUCAGGGACGACGGUUCCCUCAGAACUGGAGAGUGGCCGAAGUCGCACAGGCUGAGGCAGGUGCGGCAGAGACACACAGCCACAACCGGUCCCACACAACUCGGGGGCAGAACUCGAAAGCUGCCCUAGAGAGAAACAGGCCAUUAGUCACAGGAUGGCCUGCUGAGGGCAGCAGUAGCAGCAGCAGCAGCAGCUCCCUAAGUGUAUCUUCGUCCCCUGUUAAGGUACCUGAUCCUUUUAAGGCUUAGAACCAAGUCCUGAAAAGCAAAAUCAUUCCUGGUGUUCAGAGCUUCAAUGGCACAGUGAAAUAGUCAAGGAGACCAUCUUGGCUGUGAGCCCUGGAAGGCCUGCACCCUGCCUUACUGGCCCUUUCCCAUCUGGCCUGGGAGAGUGGAGUGCUGACUGACUCUAGCUACAAAAGCUGAAGCUGUUGA